rnacentral:lncRNA from 1 species
GAAACGAAUACAGCACCUAAUCUUCACAAACCCCUAUUACAGAAAAGGAAACUGAGGUCAGAAAGGUAUUGGCUUGCCCAGUGUGUUAGGCCAUUCUUGUAUUACUACAAAGAAAUACCUGAGGCCGGGCAUGGAGGCUGACGCCUAUAAUCCUAAGCACUUUGGGAGACCAAGGAUCACUUGAGGUCAGGAGUUCAAGACCAGCCUGGACAACAUGGUGAAACCACAUCUCUCAUAAAAAUACGAAAAUUAGCCAGUCGUGGUGGCAUACACCUGUAGUCCCAGCUACUCAGGAGGCUGANNNNGUGCCACUGCACUCCAGCCUGGCGACAGAGCAAGACUCACUCUCAAAGAAAGAAAUUUCUUUGGCUGGGCGCGGUGGCUCACAUCUGUAAUCCCAGAAC